UGCCAGACUCCUACGGGAGGCAGCAGUGGGGAAUAUUGCACAAUGGGCGAAAGCCUGAUGCAGCAACGCCGCGUGAAGGAAGACGGUUUUCGGAUUGUAAACUUCUGUUCUUAGUGAAGAAUAAUGACGGUAACUAAGGAGCAAGCCACGGCUAACUACGUGCCAGCAGCCGCGGUAAUACGUAGGUGGCAAGCGUUGUCCGGAAUUACUGGGUGUAAAGGGAGCGUAGGCGGGAGGAUAAGUUGAAUGUGAAAUCUAUGGGCUCAACCCAUAGCUGCGUUCAAAACUGUUCUUCUUGAGUGAAGUAGAGGCAGGCGGAAUUCCUAGUGUAGCGGUGAAAUGCGUAGAUAUUAGGAGGAACACCAGUGGCGAAGGCGGCCUGCUGGGCUUUAACUGACGCUGAGGCUCGAAAGCGUGGGGAGCAAACAGGAUUAGAUACCCUUGUA
rnacentral:rRNA from 1 species